rnacentral:tRNA from 1 species
GGGGAUGUAGCUCAUAUGGUAGAGUGCUCGCUUUACAUGCAAGAGGUAUGGGGAACAAUACCUUGCAUUUCCA